ACCCCCAUCGCAUCCACUUCGUCGAAAUCGUCGUUUCCUCUCGAGCUCACCCUAUCCGCUAACGGCCUCAGCUCCGACGCAUGCAUGCGCUCGACCGCCGGUGCUUGGUCACCGAUCGAGUCGUCGUUGUCCCCUACCCCUUAACGGAGGUCGCGACGGUGGAGGUCUUCGAAGUGUAGCUUCGCGCAGGGGAUCCUCGACCGGGAGAGGGGAAAUCGGACUCCGGUGAUGCGGGAGUCGAAUAGCUUGUGCCAGAGCUCAUCGUGGUCGAGGACUUGCGCUCCCAACGGUGGUUUCAUCUACCCAAGCCCUAAAGCUUGGGUUCUCCGUCGGGUUUUCCUUCGCCGACGGUGAGGGUUUCCGCCCUUGAGUGACUCACGGUAGCAGUCACGAUUGCAAAUUCCAGCAGCAGGUAUCACCAGUGGGGGGAUCUCAGUAGCUGUUUACAACUGUGAAUCGCUAGUCCUGUAUAAGCUCGGUGGAGUGAACUACAGCAGCAGACUUCACCAGCAAGUAGUUUGCCGACAACUUCACUUUCUGGCGGAGGGCUAACAGAAACGAUUGUGUUCUAAGGACUUUGAUCGAGGUGGGUGUUGAGACGAGGCGGACAUCGGAUUCUGACUACACUUAGAGGCGAGU